ACUCAAAGGAAGUGAGUUCACCACAAGGCUCUUAACCUUGUGGUCGUGGGUUCGAGCCCCACGGUGGGUG
rnacentral:tRNA from 7 species